GGUUCAGUGGUGUAGUUGGUUAUCACGUCUGUCUCACAUCUUGGUGGUCACAGGAGGUCUUCGGUUCGAGUCCGGAUUGAACCA